rnacentral:lncRNA from 1 species
UUUAAUUUUAAACAAGAAUGUGUCCAAAGUACACGGAUGCCCCACUCCCACUAUCAUUUUCCAUGUUCAAUGGACCGUGAAAUUGGAUAAAAAAUAUAAUUAGGCAUUAAAAUUAGAAAGAUAAUAUCAUAGGGAAUAUGUGUACUAAGUUUCAAGUUGAUUGGACUUCAACUUCAUCAAAAACUACCUUGACCAAAAACUUUAACCUGAAACAUGCACUUUCAUUUUCUAUGUUCAGUGGACCGUGAAAUUGGGGUCAAAAGUUUAAUUUGGCUUUAAAAUUAGAAAGAUCAUAUCAUAAGGAACAUGUGUACUAAGUUUCAAGUUGAUUGGACUUCAACUUCAUCAAAAACUACCUUGACCAAAAACUUUAACCUGAAGCGGGACAGACGGACGAACGAACGGACGAACGAACGAACGAACGGACAGACGGACGGAC